rnacentral:rRNA from 1 species
UACGAAGGGGGCGAGCGUUGUUCGGAUUUACUGGGCGUAAAGGGCGCGUAGGCGGCCUCGCAAGUCGAGUGUGAAAGCCCCGGGCUCAACCUGGGAAUUGCGCUCGAGUCUGUGGUGCUGGAGUUCGGGAGAGGAGCGUGGAAUUCCCAGUGUAGAGGUGAAAUUCGUAGAUAUUGGGAAGAACACCGGUGGCGAAGGCGGCGCUCUGGACCGAGACUGACGCUGAGGCGCGAAGGCGUGGGGAGCAAACAGG